UUCAUCUUUUUUUUGUCAAAAAGAGCGGUAUGCACUGUCAGAUCUCCUGUUCGAUCCCCAACUAAUAAAUUUUUGUAUUACAUAAAAGCGUUGUGCAGUAACAACACUCUUUUUUCUCUUCUUUUUUAAGAAGAAACUGUCCAGACCCACAAAAGAAAAGAAUUUCGUUUCUCUCUUAUCCUUAAACCCUAAAUCAUAAUCCUCCUUCCACAACCAUGUACGACUCUCUCUCUCUCUCUGAAACUUAAUUGAUCAUUCAGCAACAUGAACGAUCUUCUCACUGAUUCAUUUGUUAGUGAGGCUAAUAAUGGAUAUUGAAAUGGGAUUGCAGGAUCAAAGAAGCAGUUCUGAUAUGGGAAUUGAAGCUUUUAAUAAAAAGGUGGAGGAGAGUGAAUGAAAUUUGGAAAUGAAUGAUGAUUUGCCUGCUUGUUUUAGAUAAAAAUGUUGAGAAGACCAGAAGAUAGAUGAAGACUACAUGAUACCAUAGAAGAUUUUGAUUUUAUGUUAACUAAUUAGUUGUAACUCUUAGAGAUAUCUAUGUUACCAUAUUAGAGGCUAUACAUUUUUGACUUUUAUGCUAUAUAUAAAUACAUUUUUAUGAUAUGGUUAA